rnacentral:rRNA from 1 species
UACAGAGGUCCCAAGCGUUGUUCGGAUUCACUGGGCGGAAAGGGUGCGUAGGUGGUGGGGUAAGUCGGAUGUGAAAUCUCCGAGCUCAACUCGGAAAUGGCAUUGGAAACUACCCUGCUAGAGGGUCGGAGGGGGGACUGGAAUACUUGGUGUAGCAGUGAAAUGCGUAGAUAUCAAGUGGAACACCAGUGGCGAAGGCGAGUCCCUGGACGACUCCUGACACUGAGGCACGAAAGCUAGGGGAGCAAACAGG